rnacentral:lncRNA from 12 species
UGACUUCACAGCAGGUUCUGUGAUUUCAGAGCAGGUUCUGCAGAGGCUGAGCCUGCACAAAGCCCAGGACAGGCUGUGCAGGUCAUGGAAUCACAGGGUCACAGCUGCACAGGCCUCCAGGAGCUCUGAAUGCACCUGUUAACAGGCCAGGCUGCCCAAGCCAGAUCUGCUCUUCCCAGGAUGGGAAACACCCAAAGGAAGGAGAGAAACAGAACUUCCAGGAAAUCCAGGAAUCACAGCACUGCUCAUCAGAAUGGAUUAAUCGGCGUCAUUAAACCCAGGAAGUUUCAAGCCCUCAUAAAGCAGCUGCCAAAACGGCUCCCUCGCGGGCCGCUUCUUUUAUUUGUCGAACAAAAGAAUCAUCAGCAUUGUCUCCGGAGCUCUCCGAGGGCGCAGCCUGGGAUUAGGAUGCCG